CUAUGAUAUAAGAACAUUAACAUGUUCUUUUAUAUUAGAACUGCUUCGGUUGUCUCACGGUUGAGGUGGUGGGUUGAAUCUGGUCGGGUCAAACCAAAGACUAUAAAAAGGGGCAUUUGCUGCUUCUCUACAAAGCACUGAGCAUUACGGAGUAAAAGCAAAGACUGGUCAGUUUGUUUUCAGAAUAAUUUGUCAGAGUACGGUGACAUGUCUUCCUGUCGUCUGUUACCUUAUAAACUUGCACAGUAAAAAUUUGGCUCGAUAAGGGUUUCGGUCAAAAACGAAGAAAGGUUAGUAUGCGUAUCGCACUAAUUGACUAACAUGUUCUCGUCAUAAAUAUGCGUUUAAUUUGCCACCAUCCAUCUUACCGUCUUACUGUUCGUGAUUUUUCAACACGCCCGACGUACGCAUUUUUAAGCCAUCGCCGGAUUUAAGUUUGUGUUUUAAAAGGGCGUUUUGCAUCUUUUGUGGAACAGUGUUCUUUAAAGAUUGUUAAAAGUUCCGUAGUAAAUGAAGCGAAUUUGUCUUCUCAAUCUGAGAUCAGUAUUGAGCAGUGUUGAUCGACGUAACUUAAUUGUUUUUUGUUUUUUUUUUCUAGAUUUUCAUAACUCACUUUAUUUAUUUUUCUAUUCUUAAGAUAGGUAAAUGUAUCCACAGAAUUUAAAGUAUUUAACGAUGUCAUUAUACCUAUAAACCAGAGAUAACGGGUAACAUGUACGUUCUAAUUUUUAUCCUGUCGCAACAACUUAGUGGCAAACGUUGUUAAGGAACGGUGGA
rnacentral:lncRNA from 1 species